AACGAACGCUGGCGGCAGGCCUAACACAUGCAAGUCGAGCGAGGACUUCGGUCCUAGCGGCGGACGGGUGAGUAACGCGUGGGAACGUGCCCUUUGCUUCGGAAUAGCCCUGGGAAACUGGGAGUAAUACCGGAUGAGCCCUUUGGGGGAAAGAUUUAUCGGCGAAGGAUCGGCCCGCGUUGGAUUAGGUAGUUGGUGGGGUAAUGGCCUACCAAGCCGACGAUCCAUAGCUGGUUUGAGAGGAUGAUCAGCCACACUGGGACUGAGACACGGCCCAGACUCCUACGGGAGGCAGCAGUGGGGAAUCUUAGACAAUGGGGGAAACCCUGAUCGAGCCGUGCCGCGUGAGCGAUGAAGGCCUUAGGGUUGUAAAGCUCUUUCAGCUGGGAAGAUAAUGACGGUACCAGCAGAAGAAGCCCCGGCUAACUCCGUG
rnacentral:rRNA from 1 species